rnacentral:rRNA from 1 species
AUUGAACGCUGGCGGCAGGCCUAACACAUGCAAGUCGAGCGAGCGGCGGACGGGUGAGUAAUGUAUGGGGACUGCCCGAUAGAGGGGGAUAACUACUGGAAAUGGUGGCUAAUACUGCAUACUAUCGGAUAACCCAUAUGGGAUUAGCUAGUUGGUGGGGUAAAGGUUCACCUAGGCGACGAUCCCUAGCUGGUCUGAGCGGAUGAUCAGCCAUACUGGGAGUGAGACGCGGCCCGGACGCCGACGGAGGCAGCAGUGGGGAAUAUUGCACAGUGGGAGCAAGCCGUAUGCAACGAGGCCGCGUGUAUGAAGGAGGCCUUAGGGUUGUAAAGUACGUUCAGCGGGGAGGCGUUACCCGCAGAAGAAGCACCGGCUAACUCCGUGCCAGCAGCCGCGGUAAUAC